UCAACAAAUUACUUAAAUACUAGUAUUAAAAAAGUGAAAAUAGUGCGAAUUUAUGUAAACAUAUAUGUUUCUUAGAAUCCUCGUAAAGUUUCAGGAGAAAAUUCGUUAUAGUUUUGCUAAAACACACACAUGUCGAUGUACACUAAAAUCAACCCAUUUAUAGACCGUUGACUUAGGAAUUCUAUAGUGGCAAACAUUACCAUGCUAUGUUCAGGUCGAAGCUACAUUGCCGGACUGCAAUCACUUCAACCAGAAGCCGUGUUAUCUUCCCAUCAAAGAUGCGAUAUGCACUUAUGCUUGCGAGAACCGUUUGCCGUGUGGUCAUAUGUGCCAGCUUAAGUGUCAUGUUAACAAAGACCCGGAACAUAUCGAGGUUUUCAGUACAAGUGCUACAGAGAUUGCGAUCGGAUUAAUGACAAUUGUGUGGAAAAUCACACGUGUAAGAAACAAUACUUCGAAGAAUGCGAACUGUGUCCAAAAAUUGUUGCGAAAACUCGC